GAGGGUACAGCUCAAUGGUAGAGUGCGUGCCUAGCAUGCAUGAGGUCCCAGGUUCAAUCGCUGGUACCUCCA
rfam:Camelus ferus unplaced genomic scaffold scaffold256, whole genome shotgun sequence.